rnacentral:lncRNA from 1 species
UUCAAGAUAUUUUUUUUUUUUUGAUUAUAUAACUUUUUUGUUAUCUUUAGGCCAAUUUGCACAGACUACAGCUGUAUCUACCUCUUGUACUACACCUGUAUCUACCUCUUGUGCUACACCUGGUAAGUUAAACAACUAUUAGUUUUUAAUGUGCAAACUUUAUAAUAUGUUUAACUUUAGUUCCUUAGUCAUC